UACAGAGGUGGCAAGCGUUGUUCGGAAUUACUGGGCGUAAAGGGCGAGUAGGCGGCCUUCUAAGUCAGACGUGAAAUCCCCCGGCUUAACCUGGGAACUGCGUCUGAUACUGGGAGGCUUGAGUAUGGGAGAGGGAUGUAGAAUUCCAGGUGUAGCGGUGAAAUGCGUAGAUAUCUGGAGGAAUACCGGUGGCGAAGGCGGAUCUCUGGACAGUUCCUGACGCUGAGGCGCGAAGGCCAGGGGAGCAAACGGG
rnacentral:rRNA from 1 species